GCCCUUAGAGUUUGAUCCUGGCUCAGGAUGAACGCUGGCGGUAUGCUUUACACAUGCAAGUCGUACGAGAGUUUUUAACUCAAGUGGCGGACGGGUGAGUAACACGUAAGAAUUUGCCUUUAGGAGGGGGAUAACAACUGGAAACGGUUGCUAAUACCCCAUAUGCUUUCGAGUAAAAUGGAUUUUCCGCCUAAAGAGAAGCUUGCGGCUGAUUAGCUUGUUGGUGAGGUAAUGGCUCACCAAGGCGACGAUCAGUAUCUGGUUUGAGAGGACGAUCAGACACACUGGAACUGAGACACGGUCCAGACUCCUACGGGAGGCAGCAGUGGGGAAUUUUCCGCAAUGGGCGAAAGCCUGACGGAGCAAUACCGCGUGAGGGAUGACGGCCUAUGGGUUGUAAACCUCUUUUUUCAGGGAGGAAUCAAUGACGUGUACCUGAAGAAUAAGCAUCGGCUAACUCCGUGCCAGCAGCCGCGGUAAGACGGAGGAUGCAAGUGUUAUCCGGAAUCACUGGGCGUAAAGCGUCUGUAGGUGGUCAAAUAAGUCAACUGUUAAAUCUUGAGGCUCAACCUCAAAAUCGCAGUCGAAACUAUUCGACUAGAGUAUAGUAGGGGUAAAGGGAAUUUCCAGUGGAGCGGUGAAAUGCGUAGAGAUUGGAAAGAACACCGAUGGCGAAGGCACUUUACUGGGCUAUUACUAACACUGAGAGACGAAAGCUAGGGUAGCAAAUGGGAUUAGAUACCCCAGUAGUCCUAGCCGUAAACAAUGGAUACUAGAUGUUGAGCAGAUCGACCUGUGCAGUAUCAAAGCUAACGCGUUAAGUAUCCCGCCUGGGAAGUAUGCUCGCAAGAGUGAAACUCAAAUGAAUUGACGGGGAAGGGC
rnacentral:rRNA from 1 species